rnacentral:rRNA from 1 species
AUUGAACGCUGGCGGCAGGCCUAACACAUGCAAGUCGAACGAGUGGCGGACGGGUGAGUAAUGUCUGGGAAACUGCCCGAUGGAGGGGGAUAACGUCUGGAAACGGUAGCUAAUACCGCAUACCAUCGGAUGUGCCCAGAUGGGACUAGCUAGUAGGUGGGGUAACGGCUCACCUAGGCGACGAUCCCUAGCGGGUCUGAGAGGAUGACCAGCCACACUGGAACUUAGACACGGUCCAGACUCCUACGGGAGGCAGCAGUGGGGAAUAUGGCACAAUGGGCGAAAGCCUGAUGCAGCCAUGCCGCGUGUAUGAAGAAGGCCUUCGGGUUGUAAAGUACUUUAAGCGAGGAGGCGUUACUCGCAGAAGAAGCACCGGCUAACUCCGUGCCAGCAGCCGCGGUAAUUC